AACUGUCUAGGGGCUCAAACCUAAAGAACCCAAAUAUCUAAACGGAGAAAUUCAAUACUACCGUUAAAACGUAGUGUGCACUUUUCUCUUAGUAAGACGCCGUGAUCCAUUAGAAAUUGAUACAUNCAAAAUGUAUAUUGGGUCAUCAAAAGGCCAGCAUGAAGUUUAUUGGAACAAAUGGCAUAAUCUUUUACGGUUGUGUGUAUUGUCUGGUAAGCAUGUUGUGUUUCCUGUAAUGACUGUCUGAUGGAUUUUAAAGACCUUGUAUAAUUGAUGUUACGGCAUCACUCAUUUGUGAGAUGAUUAUGCGAUUUUGUGUCUGAUCAACGGCGGUUCAAUUUGGGAUACCUUUUGG
rnacentral:rRNA from 1 species